rnacentral:rRNA from 1 species
CGCUGGCGGCAGGCCUAACACAUGCAAGUCGAGCGGAUGAGAGGAGCUUGCUCUUGGAUUCAGCGGCGGACGGGUGAGUAAUGCCUAGGAAUCUGCCUGGUAGUGGGGGACAACGUUUCGAAAGGAACGCUAAUACCGCAUACGUCCUACGGGAGAAAGCAGGGGACCUUCGGGCCUUGCGCUAUCAGAUGAGCCUAGGUCGGAUUAGCUAGUUGGUGAGGUAAUGGCUCACCAAGGCGACGAUCCGUAACUGGUCUGAGAGGAUGAUCAGUCACACUGGAACUGAGACACGGUCCAGACUCCUACGGGAGGCAGCAGUGGGGAAUAUUGGACAAUGGGCGAAAGCCUGAUCCAGCCAUGCCGCGUGUGUGAAGAAGGUCUUCGGAUUGUAAAGCACUUUAAGUUGGGAGGAAGGGCAGUAAAUUAAUACUUUGCUGUUUUGACGUUACCGACAGAAUAAGCACCGGCU